AAUUUCCCCUUGAAAAGUCGCUCAGGAGGGCACAGGACAAGCCCGCAUUAUAACACUUGUACCCUUGCCUUGUACACAUGCGUGCUAAGUCGCUUCAGUCGUGUCUGACUCUUUGUGACCCUAUGGAUUGCAGCCCACCAGGCUCUUCUGUCCAUGGGAUUCUCCAGGCAAGAAUCCUGGAGUGGGGUGCCAUGGUGCCAGUCUUAGCACAACAAGGCUUAAGAGCAUGCUUCACUCUGCACGCGGUGGGUGUGGUGAACGGGUGCUCACUCUCCUUUACAUCCUUGUUCUGCUCUUCCUUCCUGAAUCGCAGGGGAGGAAAGGCUGCAAAGGACCUCGCGCGACCUUUGGCGGCCCUGGUCUGCAAGAUGUCAUCUUAUGGGGUGUGGGAGGGAAGAGGGCUGUGGCUCUGCUUGCCCCUGUCCAGGGUGGAGGUGUUUGAUUGCUCUUGGUAAUGCAGUGUCUGGUCACAUCUAGAGGGGAGGGAAGGCGUCACUUUUCUGGAGCGGAACCCGGCAGCCCGGGGGGCUGGCAGAGGUGGCAGUGGUAGUCACUCCCUGAUUCCAGCCCGGUUCUGGAACCAGUUUUCCUGGCACCGAGAGGCAAGGGCUCCACGUCUGCACUGCAGUUUUCAAGUCCGUCCAAAACUCUCUACCUAGAAUCUGUCCUCAGUUCCACUGCAAUUAUGUCAUAGUCCCUAAUAAGUUGUUUCCCACAUAAACCAGCCACAGUGUGGGCCCUGUUCUCUGCCAAAGAACCCCAAGACACCCCCACUCUGGACUGGGGUGUGGAAGACAAACACCAGGGCUCUCCCCAGGGGGCCUAGUUUUCUUGACAACACUCACUCGUAAUGUGAGAUAACACGGGCCUUUGCCACACAUUUAGGAAUGCCUUUAAGAUCAAAUCAACAACUAACUCACACUAUAAUUUUUUUUUUCACAUGGAAUAUAUAUACCAAAUUUCAAUUGAGAAACAACACUGGAAAGAUCAACAGUGGCCUGAAAAUAAUGGAAAGAGAGAAGAGAGUAUAGGACUCUGGGACAGAAGCCAGUCUCCUCUGCAUAAACCUUGUUCUGUAGAUUCUACUUUGGAAGCAUAUAAAUGUUCCACAUAAUUAUUUAAAAAUUGAACCAAAAUGAGGAAAAAAUAGAAAUCCCUAAAAAGUCAAAUGCAAAAUCAGACAGAUGUACCUAAUUUUGUAUCAUCUUGGUGGCUUACCCAAGCAGGCAGGGAUAAUCAAAGAUCACUUUAAACGCUGCGAUUUUACUGCAUGCACUCAGGGGUACACUGCAAAGGAGAGGGGAAAGAAGCGAAUCAAGUCUGAAUCUAUUUUCGGUAUUCAUAUUCCUAGUGACGGUAUCGCUGUUGUCAUUCUGAAACUGUGAGCUAAAGCAAGUUAUUAUGUUUGCAUCUUUGGGAGUCGAGAUUUCCAGCCUAAAAGAAGAGAGAUACAAAUAUAGAAUGAAAGAAGUAAGAGCGUGUCUUGCUAAAUUUGCUGGAAAUAUCAGUAUGAGCUCACUUUGUACUUCCUCUUACAUCAUGCAUCUGCUGACCCUGACCAUUGAAAAGACACAGACGCAUUGAGCGACCCAGGGGCAGUGAGCACCCCUGGCGUCCAGUUUAUGGUCUCUCCUGGAAGAAAUAGCUGAACUAAGGGCUGGAGCAAGACUUGGACAAGCAUAAAAGGUGAGCAUGAAACCCCAUCUGGCUGGACUCCAUCAUGUGCCUGGGGGCCCUGAGAGUGGGUAGGUUCCCCCGAAAGAGACACUGGACCCAUGAGGAAGGCGUGUACAAUGCGGGGUGCAGCGGCACCAUGGAUGAAGGUUGGGGCCAGGCUCUCCAGAGUCUCAGAAGACCAGUUACCAAGAUCUGCUGACUUUUCCUUCCUCCUCUUCAAAGAGGCCCUCACACCUGACUCCGAGGAGAUGCUAUCUGAACUCUGGAUAUAGAGGAAAAUUGAUGAAGAGCAAGGUGAAGGAGGAGGAGAGAAGAUGAUAAAGAUGCUGGUUAUGUCAAUUAAGAAAGAAAACAAAGCAAGAACAGAAGCCAGCCUGCCAGCUCUUGUUGCUGGGGUGGGUAGAGAAUGGUCCAGCUGCCCUCCCCACGUCCUCCCCUGACUCCUCUGCUGUGUGUUUUGAGACACUGAGACCCCCAGCCUAUAAGCAACUAUAUUCCAUAUACUCAAGCAGGAAAGUGGUUCUAAGUUAUGGAAUGAAGAACUGGGUCUCUUUCUCCUUUUGUGAAGGCAUGAGUGUGUGUGCUUAGUCACUCAGUUAUGUCCGACUCUGCAACCUCAUGGACUGUAGCCCACCAAUCACCUACCCCAAUAAACUGCACCCAUUUUGAAUUUAAAAUGUGAUGCCUUUUGACGAAUGUGGAACCACCUCUUCAGUGCAAACAUUUCCAUCACUCUGGAAAUUCCCUUAUGCCCCUUGCAGUCAAUCACCUCUUCCUCCCCAGCCACCAGCACCCACAGAUCUAAUUUAUGUGCCUGUUUUGCUUUUUCCAGAAAGUCAUAAAAACGAGGUUGUACAGGACAUAGCCCUUUGUGUCUGGCUUUUUACACUUAGAACACUGCCUUUUAGAGCCAUCCACAAUGCAUGCAUGCUGAGUAUUCUGUCAUAUGGAGACACUAUAGUCUGUUCAUCCAUCUAUCAGCUGAUGGACGUGGGGGUUGUAUCUGGCUUUUGGUGAUAUGAAUAA